rnacentral:rRNA from 1 species
AUUGAACGCUGGCGGCAUGCCUAACACAUGCAAGUCGAACGGCAGCAUAGUCUAGCUUGCUAGACUGAUGGCGAGUGGCGAACGGGUGAGUAACGCGUAGGAAUAUACCUUAAAGAGGGGGACAACUUGGGGAAACUCAAGCUAAUACCGCAUAAGCUCUUAGGAGUAAAGCUGGGGACCUUUGGGCCUGGCGCUUUAAGAAUAGCCUGCGUACGAUUAGCUAGUUGGUGGGGUAAAGGCCUACCAAGGCGACGAUCGUUAGCUGGUCUGAGAGGAUGGUCAGCCACACUGGAACUGAGACACGGUCCAGACUCCUACGGGUGGCUG